UUGUUGUGUGUGGUGUCAUUGCUGACCAAGUGUGCCAUGUUUGAUGUGACUCUUUUUCCUUGACUAAACAAAACAGCACUCCAAUCGGUCUUUUCUUUUAUGUCAGCAGAAUUUUUGUACUUGUAAAUAUCCAAUUGAAAAUGAAUCUAUAUUGUUGUUAAUAAUCGAGCAAACAAAGUGAAUUCCAAACUGACUAGUAUUGUUGAUUACAUUUGACACUGUUCUGGUUCGGAAUUAAUAAAUUUGUCCUAGUUGGUUAGUUGUG